UCCGAUACUGGCUCAGGGGCCCAGAGAGGCUGUGGAACCUUCCUCCUUGGAAAUAUUCAGAAGUUGUCUGGGCAAGGCCCUGAGCAAGCUGCUCGAGAAUUGCUGUGAUUUGAUCUCUUCCAGGCUAAAUUACUGUGUGACUGCAUGACUCAGGCUGUUGUUCUACUGGACCUGUGUGUUGCUAGAUGUCUCAGUCAUACAAAUCUGAUGUAGAAGAGGAGAUGAAAAAGUAACCACAGACAUUGAGGAAGAAAGGAUCAGGCAAAAGGGCAACACAUAGUGAAAGUCAGUUGCUUCUUCCAGCAAAGUCAAUGGGAGAAUUUCAUCUGACUUCCUUGAGAGCCGUUGCAACUCCAGAAUGGCAAAAGGAAUUGCACAGUAGGAAGGGAAAUCUAAGGUAUCCUCUCUCUGCUGAUCCUUGAUGUUGGGAAAGGAGGAACCAUCGAUACAGUCAAUCCUGACAAUAAAACUCCUGAGAUGAGCUACUCUCCAGUAGGGCAGCCAUUCAGACAGAGCUACAUAGGAUGACGAGCUUGUAUUUGCUUCUUGCACAAAUGAGUGGGAUCCACCACCCCAAAAUAAGGAGCUCAAUGACAAGGCUUCUUAGAGUGAAAUUUAUCACUAAGGAAAGCACAGACACUGUAACCUCGAUACUUCCUUCCCAGCGACUGGAUGAGAAACAGGAAUGGAACAGACUGAGAGCUACUUUUCUCUGCUUUUGGGGAUAGUGGUGAAUAGAAUUAACUGGCAUGUCGAGCACAGGAGAAGCAUUGCAAAGGACUCUUGCCACAGGCAACCUCUUCAGGUACACUUGCUUCUGGCUCUCUCUGCAAGCCACAUGCCUAUCUAGUAGGUCUUCCUAUGGAUUUCCUUGCUCAGAGCUUCCUUAUUUAUUAACAAGGAUCUGAUCCUACAAAAUGCUGAAUGUUACCAUCAGUUUCUACUGACUUUCAUGGAGGAAAU